rnacentral:rRNA from 6 species
AGAGUUUGAUCAUGGCUCAGAUUGAACGCUGGCGGCAGGCCUAACACAUGCAAGUCGAGCGGUAGCACAGAGAGCUUGCUCUCGGGUGACGAGCGGCGGACGGGUGAGUAAUGUCUGGGAAACUGCCUGAUGGAGGGGGAUAACUACUGGAAACGGUAGCUAAUACCGCAUAACGUCGCAAGACCAAAGUGGGGGACCUUCGGGCCUCAUGCCAUCAGAUGUGCCCAGAUGGGAUUAGCUAGUAGGUGGGGUAACGGCUCACCUAGGCGACGAUCCCUAGCUGGUCUGAGAGGAUGACCAGCCACACUGGAACUGAGACACGGUCCAGACUCCUACGGGAGGCAGCAGUGGGGAAUAUUGCACAAUGGGCGCAAGCCUGAUGCAGCCAUGCCGCGUGUGUGAAGAAGGCCUUCGGGUUGUAAAGCACUUUCAGCGGGGAGGAAGGCGAUAAGGUUAAUAACCUUGUCGAUUGACGUUACCCGCAGAAGAAGCACCGGCUAACUCCGUGCCAGCAGCCGCGGUAAUACGGAGGGUGCAAGCGUUAAUCGGAAUUACUGGGCGUAAAGCGCACGCAGGCGGUCUGUCAAGUCGGAUGUGAAAUCCCCGGGCUCAACCUGGGAACUGCAUUCGAAACUGGCAGGCUAGAGUCUUGUAGAGGGGGGUAGAAUUCCAGGUGUAGCGGUGAAAUGCGUAGAGAUCUGGAGGAAUACCGGUGGCGAAGGCGGCCCCCUGGACAAAGACUGACGCUCAGGUGCGAAAGCGUGGGGAGCAAACAGGAUUAGAUACCCUGGUAGUCCACGCCGUAAACGAUGUCGAUUUGGAGGUUGUGCCCUUGAGGCGUGGCUUCCGGAGCUAACGCGUUAAAUCGACCGCCUGGGGAGUACGGCCGCAAGGUUAAAACUCAAAUGAAUUGACGGGGGCCCGCACAAGCGGUGGAGCAUGUGGUUUAAUUCGAUGCAACGCGAAGAACCUUACCUGGUCUUGACAUCCACAGAACUUUCCAGAGAUGGAUUGGUGCCUUCGGGAACUGUGAGACAGGUGCUGCAUGGCUGUCGUCAGCUCGUGUUGUGAAAUGUUGGGUUAAGUCCCGCAACGAGCGCAACCCUUAUCCUUUGUUGCCAGCGGUUAGGCCGGGAACUCAAAGGAGACUGCCAGUGAUAAACUGGAGGAAGGUGGGGAUGACGUCAAGUCAUCAUGGCCCUUACGACCAGGGCUACACACGUGCUACAAUGGCAUAUACAAAGAGAAGCGACCUCGCGAGAGCAAGCGGACCUCAUAAAGUAUGUCGUAGUCCGGAUUGGAGUCUGCAACUCGACUCCAUGAAGUCGGAAUCGCUAGUAAUCGUAGAUCAGAAUGCUACGGUGAAUACGUUCCCGGGCCUUGUACACACCGCCCGUCACACCAUGGGAGUGGGUUGCAAAAGAAGUAGGUAGCUUAACCUUCGGGAGGGCGCUUACCACUUUGUGAUUCAUGACUGGGGUGAAGUCGUAACAAGGUAACCGUAGGGGAACCUGCGGUUGGAUCACCU